GUCUUGGCGCGCGCGGAGAGAUUUUUCCACAAAAGAGAAAGAAGGAGAUGGGAGAGGUGGAUAAAAACCACCUGAGGAUGGAAAAAAAGAAAGAGGGGAGGAGCUCUUCUCAAAAAGAGAGGAGAGACGCUGCCAACGCCGCGCGUCUCUCUCCCCAAGUGUUGGUGGCCGCCGGUGGCGCUCUAGAGCCCAUUCGACCGACAAGUGUCCACAAGAGCGGUCGUACACACCAUCACCUCUAUCUUUUUUUUCCUUUUUCCUCUCUUUUCUUAUUCUAUCUCUCUCUCUCUUUUUAUCGUCUUUUUUGGGUUUUUCUCGUCGUGUUCACAGUUUGAAAUCAAAAUCUUCGUGUGUAUUAUCAAGUGUGACUCCAGGAUUUGAUCGGCACACAUCAGGAAAACAGGAGGAUAACAAUCAGGAGAGAGAAUGUCAUCGAAAAUGGCCUCGACGUCGUCGUCGUCAUCAUCGGCGGCGUCUGGCGGCUCGUCGCCGCACCUGUGCCUCCGCUGGAACAACUACCAGUCCAAUUUGACCAGCGUCUUUGAUCAACUGCUGCAGAAUGAGACGUUUGUCGACGUCACUCUGGCGGCCGAUGGACACGCCAUCAAGGCCCAUCGCAUGGUCCUGUCAGCCUGUUCGCCCUAUUUCCAGCAUCUCUUCUUUGACAAUCCCUGCCAGCAUCCCAUUGUCAUUUUGAAGGACACCCGCUGGCCAGAACUCAAGGCUAUCGUCGAGUACAUGUACCGCGGCGAGAUCUCCGUCGCCCAGGAGGAACUGACGUCCCUUUUACGCGUCGCCGAGACGCUCAAAAUCAGAGGACUCUCGGAGCUCAACAGCGACCGACACGCCGCUGCUGCUGCCGCCGUUACGGCCGAUGAUCGCAGCGAAUCCAGUCCGCUGAUUCCCAUUCAUCCGACGGCCGGCCCAUCGACGUCGUCGUCAUCUUCAUCGGCUGCAGCCGUCAGGAGACAGACGGACAGUCCGACAUGGCCAACAUUGCCUCAUCAUCAUCAUCAUCAAAUUCAUCAUCAUCAGCAGCAGCAACAACCGGCGUGGCCUGGACACGUCAUGGAUGAAGAAAUGGCUACGACGCCUACCCCUUCGCCCACUCCUGCUCCGGCGUCUCGAUCGUCUGGCGUCAAACGACGUCGCAUUUCGGGGUCUGAAAGUCCAAUCGGUGGCGCCUCGAGUCCGGCAGCCGCUUCGACUCCGGGAAUGCAUCAUCAGCAUCACGAAGAGGCUAGUUUGGACCAUCACGACGGCCCACUCUCGUUGGUUGGUCAUCAACAACAAGCGCCGCCGCCGCCGCCACCACCACCGCCGCACAGUCCGGUCGCCUCCUCCGCCUCGUUGGCGCCGCAGGCUUUGACCCAGGCACCGCCUCCUCCAUCUUCUCUCCAUCAACAUCCACUGGCCCACUCGGAUGACCUUGAUAUUAAGCCCGGCAUCGCAGAACUCAUCCGCGAAGAGGAGAGGGCCCGGAUGCUGGAAGGGACUCACCCGUGGUUGACCGCUUCACCGUCGGUGCUCUCAGACACGUACCAGUACCAAUUACAGGCGCUGUGGCAGAAAGCCUGGGCUACCGGCCAAGGAGUCAUGCAGAACUUGCGUUUUCGUGAGCGCGGUCCUUUCAAAACUUGGAGGCCAGAAACUAUGGCCGAAGCUAUCAUGGCCGUUCUCCGUGAGGGAUUGUCACUCUCCCAGGCUGCCAGGAAAUUUGACAUUCCCUACCCGACGUUCGUGUUGUACGCCAACCGCGUGAAUAACAUGCUCGGGCCUUCGGCUGAUGGUGGACCAGAAUUGCGUCCAAAAGGUCGUGGCAGACCGCAACGAAUUCUGACCGGUUCUUGGCCAGAAGAUCACGUUCACGGCGUCAUCCGCGCCGUUGUUUUCCGCGAUCCGAGCAGCCUCCCGCGUCACAUUGACCGCGAAGAUGCCAGCAAGUUGACCGCUAACCGAUCAGCCGCCAGCUCUAGUAUGAGUCGCUUGCUGACUGUUCAUCCGGCUCAUCAGCAAACAAUUCAGGGCGAACUUGGCGGCGGCAGUGGAUCUGGAAUGCGCGGGUUGAUCCAUUCGGCCAUGAAUAAUGGUAAUAGCCACAAUUAUAAUCACGAAUUCGCACUGCCAUCUUCCUCCAACAUGACUGGCACAUUCACUCACGGAGGAUCGCUAUUAGCCGGUGGAUCUGCUUAUCCGUCAAUGCGUUCGACAGCCGGGCCGUCGUCUGGCGUCAGUAAUGCAGCGAAUGGCCUCAUGGCCGAUUUGAUGGCCGGAGCGACCAAUGGCUCCAACAACAACAACAACAACAACAACAUGCAAGGUGGAUCGGGAUCCAGUACAAGUUGCCUGAGUGGAGGCGGCCUGACAUCGUCGUCGCUGUUCAACGCUCUGCAACAGGAAGUUGCCGAAGAGACUCGAUUGGCCGCUCUGAAUGCCAUGACUCAGCGUCUGAUGACUUCACUGGAAGGUGACAACUUUGGACUGGGCGUGUCGUGCAACCAGCAACGAGCUGCCAGUGGCAUUCAAAAUCCAGCCGCAGCCGCAGCCGCCGCUGCCGCCCUGGAGGCAGCCGCCUGGUUCGGUCCCAGCAGCAGCUUCAGCGGUCAACUGCCUAUCGUCGAUUUGGCGGCCGACGACGUCACCGUAGCCGAAGAUGACGAAGGUGACGACGACGACGAGGAUGCCGUUCAACACCUGGCAUCUUUCAGCGCUCAUCAUAACCCGACAGUCACUAAUCCCGUACACUCUAAACAGCAGGAACAGCUGUUUGGAGAAUAGCCUAUACGCUAUCAUUAAUACUAUUGAAAGAGUGGCAAUUCAGUUAGUUUAUUUCGUCAUGGAGAUUUUGAAAUGAAAAAUUAUGACGCUAAUGUUAGAAAAUAGUCAGAUUGUAAACUUGCACUUGUCAUUUGUCGUCCAGCAAAAUUUUGUUUGUCCAGUGCCGUUUUAUUUAAUUUCUUCAUCAGGCACACACUCUUGUAAGUCAUAUUAUCGAGUUGAUGUUUUCAUUCACUCCGUGACAUUUUAUUUCAACAGAAAAUGGAGUGGCUGGUCUCUUGUACACAGCACCACUGUGGUAUUGUUGUAUAUUCGUUUUGAUGAGCGCACUCGACAAAAAUUUCUCUCACAUUUUUAAUAUGUACUUAAGAAAAAUGUGACUCGAUCUCCUCCUGUAUUUGACAUGGACCAGCUUAAUUGGCCAUAUCUAUUCAGUAUAGGAAAUUACAUUUUGCUCUCCCGCCCUAAAAUAUUAAAGAAACACUAAAUUAAGAGGUCCUCUAAUUGGUCUUUCACGUUUAGGCUCUCUCAAAUAACCAAUUUUUCGGCUUUUAUUCAAUAAGAAAAGGGUGGAGGGGGGAUGCCCAUUUACACAUUUGCUGUCCUUGCUUUUUUUUUAAAUUGAUCCAAUCAUUUUGUGUGUAAGCGUGAAAUAUUUGUAAACAUAUUUCAAGUCAUUUUGGGUCCUUUCGCCAGUUGUCUGUCCUGUUUUAAACUAUGCAUCUGAAAGUUGAAAAACACAAACAGGACGUGAAGAAAACGACUAUAAAAAAAGAAAUCUUAUUUUCUUUAAGACUCUAAUAAUUGACCUGCCAAUAAACUUCGCCCGCACACUCUACUCCCGAAAAUAAGUUUUCAUUUCCCCCCACUUUGAAUGGGCACCAUCGGCGUCAAGCAGUCUCUUGUCUAUGAUGUUUUUGUAUUUAGAUUUUGUGAAUUAUUCAGUCGUAAGAGAAAACAAAACAAAAUGGCUGUCUGCUAUGACGGGCGUUGCGCAACUUUUUAAAGAACCAUUCUAAAAACUCAAUUGAUCGUUUGGCAGCGUACAAUCACCUUCAAGAUCUGAUAAGACCCAUCAAGGCUACAUAUUUGUCCAGGUCAAUAAUGCCUCUCCAAUAAGAGAACAAUUCAAACCCCAUUAUGUUCCUCUUAUUUUGUCUUUUUAUUUUUGUGGCGUAAGAUAAAAAUUUCUUGCGCCCUUGUUGUGCACCUUCCCCAUUUUGCAUGUUUCAUUACGUUUGUUGCCUAUACGAUAACGUUUUUUUAUUGACUAUGUUGGUUUAUCUUUUUCUACCUUCUCAUGUCUCACAUUUUUUUGGUUCCAAUCUUCGUAUUUAUACGACCCUCAACUGCUGCGUUAUCGACGGUUUCAUAUGCUUUUGUGCCAUUGCACCAAAUAUUCACAGUUUUCUUUGUUCCGUUUAACGGUGCGUAUCAUCCGUCUAUUGAAACAAGAUCUACUAAUUGGAGGCUACGUAAAAUGUGAAUAAACGAAAGAUUAACAACCUCUUAAGGUCUGAUUUGGCUUUUCAACCAAGCUGAAACAAAAGUGAACAACUCAGCAAAUGGUUUUGUUGCAGCCACCCAGUGAAAAGGGAGUUCAAGUUGAGCUGCAGCUGCUGUAAGCAGUCUGUAGCGGUGAUGUCAUCCUGAAGUGUUCUCAGUGUGUCAGUCUAGGCUGCUGAAGUUAAUUAAACUGUGCUGUUCAAGUCUUAUCUAGACGUCCAGCACACUGAUAACAAAUUAUAGACAAGACUUUAUGAGAAGCCAUGUCGUUUGAAGAACUACACAGUCAAUAAGGUCCCUGUUUGAAAACCCGUUGGCUGCUACCUGUGAAUCUCCCUUUUUACUUCCUUAAACGGGCCCUCUUAAUUGAGGGUAACUCCUUCGAUACUGAUCAUCCACUGGACCCGACUUCAUCCAUUGAUGAAAGCUGACGAGAGAAUGCUGUAAUUCAAGACUGAUAAAUUGUGUAGUUGUUAGAUAAAUUACAAGUGCAUAUUAUCUGGGCUCCCUUCUUUUCUGCGGCCCCGUUUCCCUAACUAACCACUAACCAAC
rnacentral:misc_RNA from 1 species